UCCUGCAGCGGUUCGCCGCACCGGCGGUACGACGGGCUCCAGACCCCCCGCAGAAGCCGACUGCUCCGUCACCUUCCAUCGGCGCACCAGGUUCACCGGCGGUACGGUACGUUGGGUCGCAUCACGUGGUGAGGUCCUUGUCCUAGCCCAGGGCAGCGGCGGCAGGCGGGGGUACACAAGCAAACUGCCGCGCGGGAAGCUGGGCAGCGCCGCCGCAGGUUCACCCCGAGGACCCUCCGCUGCCGUCACCGCCAAUGAGGAAAGCACGGCGGCCUCUUCGUCAGCGCCAGAGGCGGCGGCAGUGAAGCUGCUGUCGCCCCGCUUCCGAGCGUACGGCAGCGGCAGUGGCCGUAGCGGCGUCAGGAGGUGAGUGCGCGGCAGUGCCCGCAGCGGCGGCUGGCUUAACGGGACCGUGCCGAUGUCAACAGCGGGCUGCCGUACCGUCGUAUUUGGUUGCGCUGCCGCAGCUAAUAGCGAAGGUAAGUUCCCUAUGUUGCCUGAUAGGGUCUGUUGCUCAGCCUCACCCUCAGCCUCACCCUCAGCCUCACCCUCAGCCUCGCGCUCGUCCCCCUCCGUACCGCCGUCCUGGCUCUGGGUCCUCACUGCCUCGCAGGUACC
rnacentral:lncRNA from 1 species